UACGUAGGGUGCGAGCGUUGUCCGGAUUUAUUGGGCGUAAAGAGCUCGUAGGCGGUUUGUCGCGUCGUCCGUGAAAACUCACAGCUUAACUGUGAGCUUGCGGUCGAUACGGGCAGGCUAGAGUUCGGUAGGGGAGACUGGAAUUCCUGGUGUAGCGGUGAAAUGCGCAGAUAUCAGGAGGAACACCGGUGGCGAAGGCGGGUCUCUGGGCCGAUACUGACGCUGAGGAGCGAAAGCGUGGGGAGCGAACAGG
rnacentral:rRNA from 1 species